UCGAGCGGGAAUUCUAGGAGACGCUCAGGUGCACUCGGUUCGUUAAGUGGACGUAGAAACUUGCAUCCGACUUUCCAGACAUGUGGGUCUAACGAAACGAACGCUCAACGCAACACACCGCGCUCAACGAAACGUGCCAGUAUGAAGAGGUUAAGUUCGAACGAAGGCUGCCGCGCCGGAGACGAGACACGGGUCUGACUCUCGCCCACCGACGUCGUCGUUCACUACAAAAGCGGUUCCACUGUUUUUCCCCGGGAAGAAAUGCAUAUCGCGUAUUUCGCGUUCAAAAGCGGCAAAACGACAAGGAACGG